GACGAACGCUGGCGGCGUGCUUAACACAUGCAAGUCACGGGGGCCCGCAAGGGCAACCGGCGAACGGGUGCGUAACACGUGAGCAACCUGCCGAUCUGAGGGGGAUAGCCGGCCCAACGGCCGGGUAAUACCGCAUACGUUCUUGUGGCCUCAUGGCUAUGGGAAGAACCUCCGGGGCAGAUCGAGGGGCUCGCGGCUAUCAGCUAGU
rnacentral:rRNA from 1 species